rnacentral:rRNA from 1 species
CCUACGGGAGGCAGCAGUGAGGAAUAUUGCUCAAUGGGCGCAAGCCUGAACCAGCCAAGUCGCGUGAGGGAUGACGGUCCUAUGGAUUGUAAACCUCUUUUGUCGGGGAGCAAAUCCCGCCACGUGUGGCGGGAAGCAGAGUACACUAAGAAAAAGCAUCGGCUAACUCCGUGCCAGCAGCCGCGGUAAUACGGGGGAUGCGAGCGGUAUCCGGAUUUGUUGGGCUUAAAGGGUGAGUGGGCGGAAGGUUAAGUCAGCGGUAAAAUGUCGGUGCUCAACACCGGCCUGCAGUUGAAACUGGUCGUCUUGAGUGCGCGAGAGGUAUGCGGAAUGCGUGGUGUAGCGGUGAAAUGCAUAGAUAUCACGAAGAACUCCGAUUGCGAAGGCAGCAUACCGGCGCUCAACUGACGCUGAGGCACGAAAGCGUGGGGAUCGAACAGGAUUAGAUACCCCAGUAGUC